AUACGUAGGUGGCAAGCGUUGUCCGGAAUUAUUGGGCGUAAAGCGCGCGCAGGCGGUCCUUUAAGUCUGAUGUGAAAGCCCACGGCUCAACCGUGGAGGGUCAUUGGAAACUGGGGGACUUGAGUGCAGAAGAGGAAAGUGGAAUUCCAAGUGUAGCGGUGAAAUGCGUAGAGAUUUGGAGGAACACCAGUGGCGAAGGCGACUUUCUGGUCUGUAACUGACGCUGAGGCGCGAAAGCGUGGGGAGCAAACAGGAUUAGAUACCCUGGUAGUCCACGCCGUAAACGAUGAGUGCUAAGUGUUAGGGGGUUUCCGCCCCUUAGUGCUGCAGCUAACGCAUUAAGCACUCCGCCGGGGGAGUACGGUCGCAAGACUGAAACUCAAAUGAAUUGACGGGG
rnacentral:rRNA from 1 species